CCUACGUGAGGCAGCAGUUGGGAAUAUUGCACAAUGGGGGAAACCCUGAUGCAGCGACGCCGCGUGAGUGAAGAAGUAAUUCGUUAUGUAAAGCUCUAUCAGCAGGGAAGAAAAUGACGGUACCUUAGUAAGAAGCCCCGGCUAACUACGUGCCAGCAGCCGCGGUAAUACGUAGGGGGCAAGCGUUAUCCGGAUUUACUGGGUGUAAAGGGCUCGUAGACGGCAGUGCAAGUCUGGAGUGAAAGGCGGGGGCUCAACCCCCGGACUGCUCUGGAAACGGUACGGCUGGAGUGCAGGAGAGGUAAGUGGAAUUCCGAGGGUAGCGGUGAAAUGCGUAGAUAUUAGGAGGAACACCAGUGGCGAAGGCGGCUUACUGGACUGUAACUGACGUUGAGGCUCGAAAGCGUGGGGAGCAAACAGGAUUAGAUACCCUUGUAGUC
rnacentral:rRNA from 1 species